UCUACGGGAGGCAGCAGUGAGGAAUAUUGGUCAAUGGCCGAGAGGCUGGACCAGCCAAGUCGCGUGAGGGAUGACGGCCCUACGGGUUGUAAACCUCUUUUGUCGGGGAGCAAAGAGAGUCACGUGUGGCUCAUUGAGAGUACCCGAAGAAAAAGCAUCGGCUAACUCCGUGCCAGCAGCCGCGGUAAUACGGAGGAUCCGAGCGUUAUCCGGAUUUAUUGGGUUUAAAGGGAGCGUAGAUGGGUUGUUAAGUCAGUUGUGAAAGUUUGCGGCUCAACCGUAAAAUUGCAAUUGAUACUGGCAGCCUUGAGUACAGUUGAGGUAGGCGGAAUUCGUGGUGUAGCGGUGAAAUGCUUAGAUAUCACGAAGAACUCCGAUUGCGAAGGCAGCUUACUAAACUGCCACUGACAUUGAUGCUCGAAAGUGUGGGUAUCAAACAGGAUUAGAUACCCGUGUAGUC
rnacentral:rRNA from 1 species